rnacentral:rRNA from 1 species
UACUCUUGACAUCCUGCGAACUUUCGAGAGAUCGAUUGGUGCCUUCGGGAACGCAGAGACAGGUGCUGCAUGGCUGUCGUCAGCUCGUGUUGUGAAAUGUUGGGUUAAGUCCCGUAACGAGCGCAACCCUUGUCCUUAUUUGCCAGCACAUUAUGGUGGGAACUAUAAGGAGACUGCCGGUGAUAAACCGGAGGAAGGCGGGGACGACGUCAAGUCAUCAUGGCCCUUAUGGGAUGGGCUACACACGUGCUACAAUGGAGGGUACAAAGAGCAGCCAACUGGCGACAGUGCGCGAAUCUCAUAAAACCCUUCGUAGUCCGGAUCGGAGUCUGCAACUCGACUCCGUGAAGUCGGAAUCGCUAGUAAUCGUGAAUCAGAAUGUCACGGUGAAUACGUUCCCGGGCCU